rnacentral:tmRNA from 2 species
GGGGGUGUCAGUUUCGACAGAGAAUGUCUCUGGUUAUGCGCAGCGUCGAGCAAGCUUGCAGAGCUCGUAAAUCACGCAAGUAACUUGAAAGUGCCAAGAAUAAAAGCACCGGUGGAGUUGCUACUCCGUAUUUCGGAGCCAACAGCUUUGCUUUCGCUUACGCUUAAGUGAGCGACGUGGGACGGGAGUACUCCUGAUAGGUCCGCUCUCCAUGUCAUUCUUUCAGGAUAGGAGCGUAUCGCCUGGAUACGCCACCGAAAAUGAACAGGCUCAGUGCGUGAGGAUUUCGUUUCUCUUCUACUUCACACACGAAUCACCAAGAUAAACUACGCGCUGUAGACCCAUGAUCACUACUUUUCUGGACGGGGGUUCAAUCUCCCCACCUCCACAG